AUUGAACGCUGGCGGCAUGCCUUACACAUGCAAGUCGAACGGCAGCGGGCCCUUCGGGGUGCCGGCGAGUGGCGCACGGGUGAGUAAUGCAUCGGAACGUACCCGGGAGAGGGGGAUAACCGGCCGAAAGGCUGGCUAAUACCGCAUGAACUCGGAAGAGCAAAGCGGGGGACCUUCGGGCCUCGCGCUCUCGGAGCGGCCGAUGUCCGAUUAGGCUAGUUGGUGGGGUAAAGGCCCACCACGGCGACGAUCGGUAGCGGGUCGGAGAGGACGAUCCGCCACACUGGGACUGAGACACGGCCCAGACUCCUACGGGAGGCAGCAGUGGGGAAUCUUGGACAAUGGGCGCAAGCCUGAUCCAGCAAUGCCGCGUGGGUGAAGAAGGCCUUCGGGUUGUAAAGCCCUUUCGGCGGGGAAGAAAUCGGUCAGGCGAAUAGUCUGGCCGGAUGACGGUACCCGCAGAAGAAGCACCGGCUAACUACGUG
rnacentral:rRNA from 1 species